ensembl:lncRNA
AAACACUCAACUGUUGAAAUUCAAAGUAGACAUCUGUACCACCUGUGAGAACAGCCAGUUACAGUUACGGUUACAAAUAUGCAGGGAUAGAAAGCUAGUUUUGCUCAUCAAAGGCUUAGAGCCUUUAUGCUACACCCUCUUUGACUAUUGUAACAUAUUUACAUCUAAACACGGUGCAUCUGGCUGAAUUCUUCUCCUGGCACCAGGAGACAUUGAUUCUCCCGGAGCUAAGAGCAGACAGGCAUCUAGAGUUCUUCUGCAAGUAAAAGCCCAAUCGGAUAAAUCCAAUCUGUUGCUGUAAUAAUACACAGAGAAGUCAACAUUAAUAAAAGUGUGUUGGUGCAAGGCUGACGGCUAAAACAAUUCUCAGAGGCUAAAUAUUGAAACUGUCGGAUUCCAGUUGAAAAUAUUGCUCUUAAUGAAUGGAUAUGCAUUAGUAAUGACGGGGAUGGCAGCAAUACGUCUUCUUUCAUUUGUCUUUUUUUUACCUUUAAAACAUCUAGUUUGUUAUUUGGAUGUUUCGUCACUGAUACUCCAUGUAAAUUCAUCCCAACAUUUGGCCCUAUAAUGUUGUGUCCCUUCACUUUUUUAUGGUGGAAUAAUUGCAUUGGUAGCGUAAUGUUAUUAUAGUCAGAGAUGAUUGUCCAUCUAAAAAAUGCAAAUCUUCGGGUCGUUUUUUUCUUAUCGCUUCAGGAUCACUGUGAUGAUAAAAAAGAAUGGAAAUGAGUAGGUUAGUUGCAGCAAUCGUCACUCCAGACAUUUAAUUGGUGAAAUCAAUGGAGCAAAGAGCUUUAUUGAAACGUUUCCAACAGAAUUUAAAACAUUGUUUCUAAAAACAUGACUUGUAUAUAAAACGUAUAAAAAAUAAUUUUACUGACUUGAAGUUGCAUGAUAUCCCCUACUUUCUACCGAGAAAAAGGUAAACCAAUUAAAUAACCAACUGCACCGUAGUAGACUGCAAAAUGUCUCUGAAGAAUUUCCCACUUUGCAUCAAUAAUUCACGUUCACAGAGAAAAAGUGUUCGAGGGACGCUGAGUAGAUCUUGACUUGAACAAGUAAUGUGCUCCUUGCCCAAUUGUCAGGUCAACUUUCUACCACACGCUAGAGUGCAGUGAGGCAACAUGUCAUGAAUUAUCCACUACCACCUCGUUGACUGAUGACCUACCCUUCAAUCUGAUGUGCGCAGGUGUCCCAUCUCAAACUGUACCACAUCUCUCAUACACAAUCAAAUUUCUUGAAACUAGAAAAGGUUGCGCAGCACACAAGUCAACCUGUGUGCAGGAUAUGAAAAAGCCUUCCUGUGGUGUAAAUUCAAACGGGUGUAGAGCACCACGCCCUUGGAACAACACGCGGCUCUCUGCUACGGUGCAACGGGGAGGAGGACAAACUCAGGAACUGCAGCUUUUAGGCCAAACAAGUUGAAUAUAAUUGGUUGAGCCACUGGUUAGAAAGGCACCAGACAGAGAAUCAGAUCAAACUCGAGGCGGCCGGUGAAACAGAACUUUUGUUUUUUUCUUCUGGUUUCUUGUGAUCUUGUGUUCAUUGUAUCUCAUAUACAAAAUUCCUCCUGUUUCCUCUUUGUUGCCGUAAUUCAUCCCUAAUGACUCAUUACAAAGACGACGAACACAUUUUUUUCAGCAUUUUGAAAAACCUGAUGAAAAACCCAUGUUAUAAACAUAAGCAAUUAAAUACAACACAGACUUCUUCACUAAAGUGGUCCAGAUUUGAACAUGUAUAUGACUACAUCAACUUAAACUGUUUAAACCUCCUGCUUUGUGAAUGUAAAAACUUUGUGUGUGUGUGCGUGGGAGAGAGAGGUGAGAGAGAGAGAGAAAGAGAGAGAGAUCAUUUAUGUCUGUAUGUAUGUAUUUUUUCCAUUGGCCUCUCUAAUGUGAUUUAUUUUACCCGUGUUUACUGUUGAGUAGAGGCUUACUAUCAAGUAGAGGUGGUGAAAUAAUGAAGGUAAAGUGAUGCAGAAAAUAGUUCUUCAAUUCUCCUCAGAUGAAUCUUCUGUUGAUAUUAGAAGGUCCACUAGCAUAUUUUUCCCUUGACCUGCAGAGUGUUGACUGGUAACCGCGGUGAUUCAUCACACGUCCCAUCACCUUAAAAGGUGAUGAGAUUCCAUCCACAGUGUUAGUUUGUUGGGGGUCGCUCUCAUUUUUAGUGAUGCUUCUGUCCGCUGUCCCAUUACUCUUGAGUUUGAACUGAUACAGUAUAUCAGUUUACAAUCGUGUAUUUUUCGUGUCUGAUAUGGUUUUGUUUCAUCGUCAUAUACUUAUUCACACAUUAAGCAUAAUUGUAACCAUGGGAACCAAACAAGCUUUACAAUUAUGUAAAACAAAAUAAGAUGAGUAUUUUUAUAUAGUUGACACAUGAUUUAAUAAUUGUUUUCUUCUCACUAGUACCUUGCACUUAUCACAAGUAAAAUGAUUUUCUUGCAGGUUGACGCUCCAUUUUGUACAAUAUACAUAUAUGCUGUACAGUAGAGAAAUUUUAAAAAUACAAAAACUCUUUUAGAUAUACAUUAUUUAUUUUUACCAUUUUGUAAUUUAGACACUAUACUGUAGCUUCAAUAUUGCCAGACUUACUGGAAGUGCCUAUAUUGGUAUUAUGUAUCAUACAGUGAAUAUAUUUGAAGAUCAUUAGAAGUUGUCACAAACUGAACCAUGUGGAUGUUGUAAUGUGAAUACAUUGAAUUACAAGACUAUAAUUUCUGUGGUAUUCCUGUG